rnacentral:rRNA from 1 species
UACGUAGGGGCCGAGCGUUGUCCGGAGUUAUUGGGCGUAAAGCGCGCGCAGGCGGCUUGACGCGCCCGACGUGAAAGCCCCCGGCUUAACCGGGGAGGGUCGUCGGGUACGGUCAGGCUUGAGGGCGGGAGAGGGUGGUGGAAUUCCCGGUGUAGUGGUGAAAUGCGUAGAGAUCGGGAGGAACACCUGUGGCGAAGGCGGCCGCCUGGGCCGACCCUGACGCUGAGGCGCGAAGGCGUGGGGAGCGAACGGG